rnacentral:rRNA from 1 species
GUGGGGAAUAUUGGGCAAUGGGCGCAAGCCUGACCCAGCAACGCCGCGUGAGGGAAGAAGGCUUUCGGGUUGUAAACCUCUGUCCUUGGUGACGAAAAAAAUGACGGUAGCCAAGGAGGAAGCCCCGGCUAACUACGUGCCAGCAGCCGCGGUAAUACGUAGGGGGCGAGCGUUGUCCGGAAUUACUGGGCGUAAAGGGUGCGUAGGUGGCCUUUUAAGUUGGAUGUGAAAUACCCGGGCUUAACUUGGGGGGUGCAUCCAAAACUGGGAGGCUAGAGUGCAGGAGAGGAAAGCGGAAUUCCUAGUGUAGCGGUGAAAUGCGUAGAUAUUAGGAGGAACACCAGUGGCGAAGGCGAUCUGCUGGACAGCAACUGACGCUGAGGCGCGAAAGCGUGGGGAGCAAACAGGAUUAGAAACCCGAGUAGUCC